AACCUUUACACUGCACGACAGUGCGAUAAGGGAAUCCCAAGUGCGUAGGCAUAGAGCCUACGCUUUUGUCCACCGUAGGGAGGUGGACGAAUAAGGGCUGGGCAAGACCGGUGCCAGCCGCCGCGGUAAUACCGGCAGCCCGAGUGAUGGCCGAUCUUAUUGGGCCUAAAGCGUCCGUAGCUGGCCGCACAAGUCCAUCGGAAAAUCCGCCCGCCCAACGGGUGGGCGUCCGGUGGAAACUGUGUGGCUUGGGACCGGAAGGCGCGACGGGUACGUCCGGGGUAGGAGUGAAAUCCCGUAAUCCUGGACGGACCGCCGAUGGCGAAAGCACGUCGCGAGAACGGAUCCGACAGUGAGGGACGAAAGCUAGGGUCUCGAACCGGAUUAGAUACCCGGGUAGUCCUAGCCGUAAACAAUGCCUGCUAGGUGUGGCUCCCACUACGAGUGGGUGCUGUGCCGUAGGGAAGCCGCUAAGCAGGCCGCCUGGGAAGUACGUCCGCAAGGAUGAAACUUAA
rnacentral:rRNA from 1 species